rnacentral:rRNA from 1 species
UACGUAGGGGGCUAGCGUUGUCCGGAAUUACUGGGCGUAAAGAGUGUGUAGGCGGUGCUCUAAGUUCGGUGUGAAAUCUCCUGGCUCAACUGGGAGGGUGCGCCGGAAACUGGAGUGCUUGAGCGUGGGAGAGGAAAGCGGAAUUCCUGGUGUAGCGGUGAAAUGCGUAGAUAUCAGGAGGAACACCUGUGGUGUAGACGGCUUUCUGGACCAUAGCUGACGCUGAGACACGAAAGCGUGGGUAGCAAACAGG